rnacentral:rRNA from 1 species
GACGAACGCUGGCGGCGUGCUUAACACAUGCAAGUCGAGCGAGAGCCAGCUGAGGGGUAACCCUCGGCUGGGGACAGCGGCGAACGGGUGCGUAACUACGUGGGCAACCUGCCCUGACACUGGGAUAACCCCGGGAACCGAGCUAAUACCGGAUACUCUCGGCCGACUCACAUGGCUGGCCGAGGAAAGGUCCGCCGGUCAGGGAUGGGCCCGCGGCCUAUCAGCUUGUUGGUGGGGUAACGGCCCACCAAGGCGACGACGGUAGCUGGUCUGAGAGGACGACCAGCCACACUGGAACUGAGAUACGGUCCAGACUCCUACGGGAGGCAGCAGUGGGGAAUAUUGCACAAUGGGCGAAAGCCUGAUGCAGCGACGCCGCGUGA